UGGUGACUGAGAAGAUUUGGAGGGAAUCA
rnacentral:piRNA from 1 species